GGUCUCCACCCAGAAGAGAAAGUCUAUUUAAACCCCUGGGAGACCCCUCCAUUUUGUCUUCAGCUGGCUAAAGAGAGAGUCUCUCCACUCCCCAGGAUACUUGGAAGAAACUGGAAUAAAGGAAAGUGACUGCAAGGGGUGUGAGUGAUUGCUGACCCAGGCUAAAAGGAGAUUAGUCUGUAAAAGGGAGCAUUCUGGAACUGGUUAUUUCUGGACCCCAAAACCACAGAAGAGCCAGGCUUUGAGGUGGAGCAUCUGUGGAUUGGGAUGGAGAAUGCAUCCUGUGUCCUGUGAGAGGAGCCACAGUUUUAGGUAGAGAGAGAUCCGUCAGCAUACCAUCAUGCAUAGAAGGGUACUGAAGAGUAAAGCCAAAACGGAAAGGUUCAUCAGAGGGUGAGAACCAGUCCUUCUAAUAAGGAAAACACUCACAUUUACAUCAGGAUUCAGAUUUAUAUUCUACCACCUAGAGUGAAUGUACUGAAUAGUUCUACAGCUUCACGUCAAGAUUGCAUAUGGUCCUGUGGCUUUCAUUUUAAUUAAAUGGAAAAAGCUGAACAAUGCUAAUGUGAGAUCAUGAAAACAUCUGCUGGAUGGCAGUAUGUGAAUAAAAAUUCACAGAUGUAAACCUGGAACUGUGAAAGAUAAGACAUAUUCAGAUACAAUGAGAGCGUUUCGUCAUAACAUUAUAGGAAAGACACUGGAAACAAU